UACGUAGGGUGCAAGCGUUGUCCGGAAUUAUUGGGCGUAAAGAGCUCGUAGGCGGUUUGUCGCGUCUGCUGUGAAAACUCGGGGCUUAACCCCGGGCCUGCAGUGGGUACGGGCAGACUAGAGUGCGGUAGGGGAGACUGGAAUUCCUGGUGUAGCGGUGAAAUGCGCAGAUAUCAGGAGGAACACCGGUGGCGAAGGCGGCUCUCUGGACCGGUACUGACGCUGAGACGCGAAAGCUAGGGGAGCAAACGGG
rnacentral:rRNA from 1 species